AGCUCCAAUAGCGUAUGCCCAUUUUGUUGUGGUUAAAAAGCUCGUAGUUGGAUCUCGGUUUCGGGAGUGUGGUGCGCCUUGCGGCGUUUACUGCACACCCGGACGAUUUUGUCGGUUCGUUCUUGGUGCUCUUAACCGGGUGCCUAGAGUGGCCGACACGUUUACUUUGAAAAAAUUGGAGUGCUCAAAGCAGGCGCUACAGCCUGAACAUUUGUGCAUGGAAUAAUGAAAUAGGAUCUCGGUUCUAUUUCGUUGGCUUUCGGAGUCGAGGUAAUGAUUAAUAGGGACAGACGGGGGCAUUCGUACUGCGACGUUAGAGGUGAAAUUCUUGGAUCGUCGCAAGACGAACUACUGCGAAAGCAUUUGCCAAGAAUGUUUUCA
rnacentral:rRNA from 1 species